UACGUAGGUGGCAAGCGUUGUCCGGAAUUAUUGGGCGUAAAGCGCGCGCAGGCGGUCCUUUAAGUCUGAUGUGAAAGCCCACGGCUCAACCGUGGAGGGUCAUUGGAAACUGGGGGGACUUGAGUGCAGGAGAGAAGAGUGGAAUUCCACGUGUAGCGGUGAAAUGCGUAGAGAUGUGGAGGAACACCAGUGGCGAAGGCGACUCUUUGGCCUGUAACUGACGCUGAGGCGCGAAAGCGUGGGGAGCAAACGGG
rnacentral:rRNA from 1 species